AGCUCCAAUAGCGUAUAUUAAAGUUGUUGCGGUUAAAAAGCUCGUAGUUGGAUUUCUGCUGAAGCAAACCGGUCCGCCCUCUGGGUGAGCAUCUGGCUUUAUUUUGGCAUAUGUUUGGACUUUGCAGCUGCACUUGACUGUGUGGUGUAAAGGUCAAGCCAUUUACUUUGAGGGAAUCAGAGUGUUUCAAGCAGGCAAUUGCCUUGAAUACAUUAGCAUGGAAUAAUAUGAUAUGACUGUGGUUUUAUGUUGUUGGCUUCUAGAAUUGGAGUAAUGAUUAAUAGGGAUAG
rnacentral:rRNA from 1 species